UGGCGAGUGGCGGACGGGUGAGGAAUGCAUCGGAAUCUACUCUUUCGUGGGGGAUAACGUAGGGAAACUUACGCUAAUACCGCAUACGACCUACGGGUGAAAGCCGGGGACCUUCGGGCCUGGCGCGAAUGAAUGAGCCGAUGCCCGAUUAGCUAGUUGGCGGGGUAAGAGCCCACCAAGGCGACGAUCGGUAGCUGGUCUGAGAGGAUGAUCAGCCACACUGGAACUGAGACACGGUCCAGACUCCUACGGGAGGCAGCAGUGGGGAAUAUUGGACAAUGGGCGCAAGCCUGAUCCAGCCAUACCGCGUGGGUGAAGAAGGCCUUCGGGUUGUAAAGCCCUUUUGUUGGGAAAGAAAAGCAGCCGAUUAAUACCCGGUUGUUCUGACGGUACCCAAAGAAUAAGCACCGGCUAACUUCGUGCCAGCAGCCGCGGUAAUACGAAGGGUGCAAGCGUUACUCGGAAUUACUGGGCGUAAAGCGUGCGUAGGUGGUUGUUUAAGUCUGUCGUGAAAGCCCUGGGCUCAACCUGGGAAUUGCGAUGGAAACUGGGCGACUAGAGUGUGGCAGAGGAUAGUGGAAUUCCUGGUGUAGCAGUGAAAUGCGUAGA
rnacentral:rRNA from 1 species